rnacentral:rRNA from 1 species
UACAGAGGUCUCAAGCGUUGUUCGGAUUCAUUGGGCGUAAAGGGUGCGUAGGUGGCGCCGUAAGUCGGGUGUGAAAUUUCGGAGCUUAACUCCGAAACUGCAUUCGAUACUGCGGUGCUUGAGGACUGGAGAGGAGACUGGAAUUCCUGGUGUAGCGGUGGAAUGCGCAGAUAUCAGGAGGAACACCGAUGGCGAAGGCAGGUCACUGGGCCGCAACUGACGCUGAGGAGCGAAAGCAUGGGGAGCGAACAGG